CCGCAUACGCGCUCUAUCGCUGCCACCUUAGGGUGGGGGAGGAAAGUCCGAGCAACAGAGAGCACCGCGCAAGUUAACGGCUUGAUAUUCGUAAGAGUAUAGCAGUGUAGAAGAAAAUAACCGCCCGCAAGGGUAAGGGUGAGAAGGCGGGGUAAGAGCCCACCGCGAGGGUAGCAAUACUCCUCGGCAGUACGCCUCGUGGGUUGCAAGACCAUGUAUACCGACAAUUAAGGGUUGCUCGUCCAAUGUCGGGGGGUAGGUUGCUAGAGGCGGCAAGUGAUUGUCGUCGUAGAUAAAUGAUAGAGGCCCACUCGUUGGGUACAGAACUCGGCUUAUAGCGUAUACAAAAAA
rnacentral:RNase_P_RNA from 1 species